rnacentral:piRNA from 1 species
UGGUAGACUUAUGAUCUGGUUGGUCC